GCACAGAUGCUUCAGCCUUCUAGACAGAACCUUCAGCCUCCCUGCACAGACGCGUCAGCCUCCAGCGCAGACCCUUUGGCCUCGCAGAGGACACCACAGUGAGCUCCAGGCUUCGACUGGAUCCUUUGGUCUCCAGUGGACAGACAGACCUUCUGCACUCUUCCUCACCUGACUGCAGUCAGCCAUUGUAAGCCAAUCUUGUAAAUGCUUAUAUAUUUGUAUAUCUUACAUGAAGUCUGUCUCUCUAGUAAGCACUGACUGAUACAAAGUGAUUAGUAGUUUUCUGUAGAAAAAACGAUUUUUGGUAAAACUUUAGCUGAGAAUACUUGAAAACAGAAUAGGACAUCUAAGGAUAUACAUAAUUAGAAUGUUAAUAUUCAGCUUUCUUCUCUUCCCAGUGGCUGAACAAUCUCAAUGAAAGACAGUUGACUUACACUUAAUUAAUUCAAGCCAAAGGAAAAUGUCUUUGGUAGGUAAAGGACUCAUUAGUAGGGCAUACCUGAGUAAUUAGGAUUUGUUGCUUGAAAGGCCUCAUUUGCAAGUGUAGUUGGCAUUCAGGUUUCUCAUUCUCUCUUGAUUCCUCAGUGAAGCUCUGUUUUUUCAUAGGUUUACACGAAGCCCCUGACGCCCCCCGCCCCCUGCCCCAUAUUGAGAAUCAAACUCAGGACCUUGUGUUUGCAAGCAGGCGUGGCGCCACUGAGCUAAAUCCCUAGCCCCUAUGAAACUUCUUAAAAUGUGCCCAUCUUAUCAAACAGCAUUUGCAGAGAUUGUAUAUUAUUAUUGAAUUAAAGCCAUUCGAUCAAGCCAAGCAAGAGGAAGGAUAAAUCACUGGACUCUGUUCUGGCAUCCUGAUCACUAAUCUGCUGUUUCUCUGGAUCCUUCCUCUCCACUAAGGCACUGAUAUCUGACUCCACGUGAGUAAGGCUGAGUUUCUCUUUACCAUUCCUGUCAGAAAGUUCAAGUCGUAUUUAUCUAUUCACUGUUGUCCUUCUCCAGGCUUAGCCAUUUACACUAAAUCUCUCACUAUAGCAUCUCUCUGGUCACAAGUCCAAAACAUAUAUAUUUUCCUUUUAGUCCAGAAUAUAGCUUGUAAACACUAUAAGUUAUAUAGAUAUAACUAGAGGCAUAAUUCUAGCACUGUUUGACUCUGAGAUAGAAUCAAAGGCUUCUUUUAUUUGGUUCCAUUUUGUAGAUGAUGUGCUUUAAGAAUGAACAUUUACCCUCAAAACCAUCUGAUUUCUAAAUGUGAAGCAGAAGAAAUUAUGGUUUAUGUUUUUAUUGUUCUGGCACAAAUUCAGGACUCCGUACCUGCUUGAUAUUCCAGAAAGCAUCUCUUGUGUUGGUGGAUUUAAUAUCAUAAAACAACAUUUUUCUAGUGGGUCUUAAAAUAAUUCAGCAGUAGUUCACAUUUAUAAAAAUAUGGUAAAAACUGAGCAGCUUGUAUGAACUAAAUAUGAGUGCUUAGGUUCUUAUUUGAUGAGCCUUUAGUGGCUUCUGAAAAUGUUCCUGUGGUUUUAGGUUUAGGAUCUUUUUGAAAGGACUGAGACUCUCUUUUUCAUUAAAUUAAUUGAUAUUCAGUAUUUUAUAGCAAGAAAUACACAGUUUACCUUUCAAAUAAAUUGGUGUAAUGUCUAAAUCCGGAUGAAAUUAGAUUAACUUUUAUGUAUAAACAUCUCAGUUCACAUUAUGUUACUAGUUUCUUAGGUUAUAUUUUAGAAAAGUUGUCAAUAACUUGCUUAGGUCAUAUUAGCAAUUUAUUAAACCUGGGUUCUUACUGGUAUAAAUCACUUCUUUCUCAAAAUAUUUUUCUUUCUUCCUUCCUUUCUUUUAAAAAAAAAUUAAGACAGAGUCUUGCUAUAUAGCCCAGGCCGGUCUCGAAUGAAAAAUUUUGCUGCCUUAGUCACCUGAGUGGUGAGACUACAGAUAUUCAUCACAAUGCCUUGUUUUCCAAGAUACUUUCCAAAGACGUCACCCUGCCAGCCUGGGUUGCUAUUGUUCUCUGUACCAUUAUUAGUUAUCUCAGCUCUGCUGGUGAUCACUGUGCCAGACCAUGUGAGGAAGAAUUCACUGCUAAUUGACUUCUAAGAACUGCAACAGACAUAGCUCAGUUGUGGCCAUUUUGAAAGCUAUUGCUCAUGUUCCUUUGCCCUGUGACCUUUUCUAGACCUUCUGAGUAAGACACUUUGAUUGUCAAGAUCUCAUAAAUUUUCACACCAAUCAUAAACAUUAUAAUAUUACUAAGUCCAUGCCCUAACAACAGGUUCGAUGAAAGUAAUACUUCCUGAGAAAAAUGUUCACACUACAUCCUUGAAUUUGUAGAUAAAGGUUUAGCUAACACAUAGUCAGAGGCAAAUUUGGUGUCCCUCCUUGUGUUCUGUUGCAUGAAUUUCUUAUAUUCCUGCUGACUACGGCAGCAGCUUUCUGCCAGUGUAAUAUGGACAUUGCUAUUAGAAUGUGUUUCUUUAGCAAUUGUGAUGCUUGGUUGUGUGAUAUCAUAGGCAGGUGAUUUUGUACGGGCUGAGUUCAGUCAGGAAGAUUUUAUUGCUGCUAUAAUUUGGAUCCUAAGUGACUUCCAAAGGUCUGUUUAGUAAAAGCCCUCCUAGAAAGUGGAGGGGCCUUUAUGAGAUGGAGCCUAAUGGGAGGUCUUUGGACCAUUGGGAUCAUGCCCUUGAAGGGGAUUUUGGGUCUCCCUCUCUUUCUCUCACUUCCCAGCCAUGAGGUAAGCAGUUUUUCUUCACCAUACCCUCCCUUGAUGUAGUACCAUGAUGUACUACCACAGGCCCAAAGCAAUGUGAUCAACUGAUCAGGAACCAAAAUAUCUAAGCAUUUAAGUGGAAAUAAAACUUUUCUCUUUAUAAGUUUCUUAUCUCAGGUAUUUAUUACAGAAUAGAAAGCCAACUAACAAAGUAGUGGACAUCAUAUUAGACUUUCAUCUUAUGUCAUAUAAGGAAUAUGAAAGAAAUUGAAAUGUAGAAACAGAUAUAUGGGUCUUUAACAUAAGUAACCUAGUUCUUGGCUCUAGUUUUGAAGAGACAAUUUCUGAACCAUGUCUGAUUCUGUGGCUCUAAUAAUCAAGGUGCAACUCUAAGUAAAAUAAUAAGAGAUCUCACUAAAAUAUGUAAAUUUGUUCUGUAAACUGUUCAAGGACCUCUAUUUCCUUUUCACAAAGGAAAUUUGUCAAAUCCUGGGACAUGCUCUGAUCAACAUCAGUCUUAGUGUAUCCCAAAGUACUCAUUUUAAAACAAAGGAUUACCUGGUGAAGUGCUGUGCAUCUAUGGUCCCCUCAUCUAAGUAUAAAUAAGU
rnacentral:lncRNA from 1 species